rnacentral:pre_miRNA from 1 species
GAGCUGAUCUUUGACUCGAACCUGGACAUCGUUUUGUACACGAAUUCAAGCUGUUGUACCCGUGAUUCCAUGUAUCGAGUCAACGAUCGCCUUUAAAAAUGUGCUU